rnacentral:tRNA from 1 species
GGCAGGUUGCCCGAGUGGCCAAUGGGAGCGGACUGUAAAUCCGUCGGCUUACGCCUACACAGGUUCGAAUCCUGUACCUGCCACCC